rnacentral:rRNA from 1 species
AGAUUGAACGCUGGCGGCGUGCUUAACACAUGCAAGUCGAGCGGUAACAGGCGUAGCAAUACGUGCUGACGAGCGGCGAACGGGUGCGUAAUACAUGGGAAUCUGCCUUUUAGUGGGGAAUAACCCGGCGAAAGCCGGGCUAAUGCCGCAUAAGAUCUUCGGAUGAAAGCGGGGGAUCGUAAGACCUCGCGCUGAUAGAUGAGCCCAUGCCGGAUUAGCUAGUUGGUGAGGUAACGGCUCACCAAGGCGACGAUCCGUAGCUGGUCUGAGGAGGACGGCCAGCCACACUGGGACUGAGACACGGCCCAGACUCCGUACGGGGGCAGCAGGUGGGAAUA